GGAGAUGAGGCGAUAGGAAGCAAGCUCUUUGCUAAAGAGUCGCCGUAAAACCGGCAGCAGGUUCGAAUCCUGUCAUCUCCG
rnacentral:tRNA from 1 species